GUUCGGCUCCGGGUCUCACUGAUCCGGACUACAGCAGACCUCUGUGGACCGUUCGGCUCCGGGUCUGACCCUCCUGAUGGGGACUCAGGGUCCAGGCAGGAAGAGGAUCCCGAACCGGGACAAAGUGACCGCAGAGGAUGACGCUCUGAACCAGAUAGCACGAGAGGCAGAGGCGAGGCUGGCGGCAAAGCGAGCGGCGAGGGCGGAGGCGAGAGAGAUCAGGAUGAGGGAGCUGGAGAGACAACAGAAGGAGCUCCUCCACAGUCACAAGAAGUAUUAUGGUCUGGAUAAUAAGUGGGGUCACAUAGAACAGUGGAUGGAGGACAGUGAGCGGUACUCUCGCCACUCGCGAAGACACGCCUCGAUGUCCGAUGAUGAGGAGAAGAUGUCAGUGGGAAGUCGAGGAAGCUUCAGGCCAUCAGAUCACAGUGGGUUUUUUGGGUCUGGUUCUCGGGCAUCUUCCAGAGCGAGUUCAGCUCGAGCGAGCCCCGUGGUGGAGGAGAGACCCCCUGACAGAGACUUCCUGGAGAAAGCUCCUCCUCCUCAGGGCUCAAGGACCGCCUCCACGCUGUCUGCUGCCACGCUGGCUUCUCUGGGAGGAGCUUCAUCUCGCAGAGGAAGUUGUGACACGUCGUUCUCUGUGGAGACGGAGGCGUCCAUCAGAGACAUGAAGGAGUCUCUGGCGGACGCCGAGGAGAAGUACCGCCGUGCGAUGGUUUCGAACGCUCAGCUUCAUAACGAGAAGUCGACUCUGAUGUAUCAGGUUGAGACUCUGAGGGAGGAGCUUAACGACCUGGAGGAGGAGCUUUGGGAGACACGCCGUGACCGUGACGACAUGGGCAAGGAGUUGGAGCAUGAGCGCCACGCCCACGGCGUUCUCCAGUUCACGACUAAAGAGAUGAACGAAACUCUGAGACACACGGAGGAGCUGCUGACGGAGGUGUCUGAGCUCCGUCUGAGGAGCAGCUCUUACUGUCAGGAAGUCUCUGACCUGCAGGAGGCGCUGCAGUGGAAGGAGAAGAAGAUGGCGGCGUUAGAGCGUCACAGGGAGAUCUCAGACAUUGUGCGGAUAGAUCGUGAUCGACUCGGACUCGAGGUGGUUCGACUCACAGAUUUAUUGAAGACACACGGAGUCUUCAUCGCUCCUAAGCUCUCAGCCAAUGGGGAGGCGGCACAGGAUGAUGCUGAGGAUGAUGUCAGUGCAGACUCAGCCUCCCGAUUGGCUCAUGAAUCGUCGCAUGAUGGCAGAACAAGCAUGUUGGAGCUGCGGUUGAAGAAGCUCUUCGAGGAGAGAGAGAGUUUACUGGAUCAGGUGAGACUGUUAAAGUGUGAACUGGAUCAGAAGAACGGGACUGAUGGAGUCCAGAAUGCAGAAGUGGACGGCCAAGAGAACGGUGUGGACUCUCAUCUGCUGGACCUUCAGAGAGAUGCGAACAGGCAGAUCAGUGAUCUGAAGUUCAAACUGGUGAAGUCCGAACAGGAAGUGACCACUCUGGAACAAAAUGUGAUCCGACUUGAGGGUCAGGUGGCACGAUACAAGUCGGCUUCAGAAAACUCAGAAAAGAUCGAAGACGAGCUGAAGGUGGAGAAAAGAAAACUUCAGCGAGAGCUCCGCUCUGCGUUGGAUCGGGUUGACGAAUUGGAGCUCAGUAAUCUCCACCUCUCCAAACGUCUAGACAAGAUGAAAGCCAACAGGAGCGCCCUGCUCGCACAGCAGUGACACCCGGGUCCCAGUCUGCUCCCAGUCUGCAUCCAGUCCCAGUCUGCCUUAAGUCCCAGUCUGCACCCAGUCCCAGUCUGCCCUGAGUCCCAGUCUGCCCUGAGUCCCAGUCUGCACCCAGUCCCAGUCUGCCCUGAGUCCCACUCUGCACCCAGUCCCAGUCUGCCCUGAGUCCCAGUCUGCACCCAGUCCCAGUCUGCCCUGAGUCCCAGUCUGCAGCGUGUCGCAGUCUGCACCCAGUCCCAGUCUGCACCCAUUCCCAGUCUGCCCCAGGUCCCAGUCUGCACCCAGUCCCAGUCUGUCCCAGAUCCCAGUCUGCCCUGAGUCCCAGUCUGCAGGUGGAGCCUGACAAUCAGCGUUUGAAUUCCUGUGCAUGCAGCGGUAAGCUAGUUAGCGAGAGGAAAACAACCAAACGACCUGAAAGACAAACGCGAUGGAUCAGUGACAUGAACCUCUGGUUGAAUAUUUAAUCUUUACUCACAGCUGACACUAGGGGGCGCCGCUCCCCUGAGACUGUACAACAGAGAGACCCGAGUCAGACUCACUUUCUUUUUUUAUUUUUCUCUUUAAAUGUUUAAAGCAAUAUUUUCCACCCGUCUUAUAUUGGGUUUUGUUGUUGUUUAUUUUUUGGGGUUUUGUUGUUUAUUAUUUUUUGGGGGUUUUGUUGUUGUUUAUUUUUUGGGGGGUUUUGUUGUUUAUUAUUUUUUGGGGGUUUUGUUGUUUAUUAUUGUUUGGGGGUUUUGUUGUUUAUUAUUUUUUGGGGUUUUUGUUGUUGUUUAUUUUUUGGGGUUUUGUUGUUUAUUUUUGGGGGUUUUGUUGUUUAUUAUUUUUUGGAGGUUUUGUUGUUGUUUAUUUUUUGGGGUUUUGUUGUUUAUUAUUUUUGGGGGGUUUUGUUGUUGUUUAUUUUUUGGGGGGUUUUGUUGUUUAUUAUUUUUUUGGGGUUUUGUUGUUUAUUAUUGUUUGGGGGUUUUGUUGUUUAUUAUUUUUUGGGGGUUUUGUUGUUGUUUAUUUUUUGGGGUUUUGUUGUUUAUUUUUUGGGACUGUAGAUCAGUUUGAAGUUUUCAGAGCAAAAUUCAUUUUCUUCAUAUUUCUUUUUCAUACAUAUUUGUUAUUUCACAAGGCAGCGUGAGCCCCGCCCACCAGGUAUCUGAGACUGUUCAGGUAAGGAAGGGGGCGUGGCCACCUGCAUGUAUAUAAAUAAAGAGCAGGUGACGACUCAGUCUUGAGGAAUGUUCUAGAUGAUACUCUGACAUCAUUAAUCACCAGCUUGAAUGUUUGUGAUCAGUCGUGAACACAAACACCUCCUGGACCACUCUUCUACAAAAUCCCACAGUCCAUAAAUGCACCAUGAUGAGUUCAUGUUGCAACAGGAAGUGACAAUGUGUCUAUGGUUAUAACAUGAUCUAUGAACUAAAGUGUCUCACUUCUUCUACUUUCAUAGUACAGGAAGCCAACACGGUGAUGGGAUAGCACUACAGUCGCCAUGGUUACAGGACACUGUGUUUCUGUCACUAUGACAACAGAAUGUUUGAAUGUGAUUGGAGGAAAGUUAUUGUUUUAAUUUGUGUUGAUCAGAAACGUGAGGUGAAAUAUUAAAAACGUCUGUUUAGUCUUU